ACCUGCAUUCAAAAGUGAUCAUGGCUGCCAGUGCCCUGGUCAUCUGUGAUGCAGGGAAAGGAAGUGCUGAAGGCCGUUUCCCGUGUUUGGAGGGUCCACGCCUGUCCCUUUCAAAUGCUGGCGCUUUCACACA
ensembl:snoRNA SNORA71 Small nucleolar RNA SNORA71